CUGGCAGUUUGCAGUUGGACAAUGGAGACAUGUCAAAUGGCUUGAGUCAUUUCCUCGAACAGCUGCUGAGCAAGAACGUCAGAAGGAAGGAUUUUAUACAGAACGCCAUCGGAUUCCGAACGUUAUUGGCUGCGUAGAUGGAUCCCUUAUUCCGAUCAAAUGUCCAUCCGUAAACGAGAAUGCAUACGUGUGCAGGAAACAGUGGCAUGCCAUUAAUGUGCAGGGGAUUUGUACUUAUGAUUUGAAAUUUUCAAAUAUAGUAGCCCGAUGGCCAGGUGCCACCCAUGAUGCGUUUAUCUGGUCCAACUGCAAUUUAAAGGUGAAGAUGGAACGCGGCCUGAAUGAUGGAGGAUACUUGCUCGGUGACAGUGCCUACCCACUUAGACCCUGUCUCAUGACCCCAGUCUCCCGCCCAGCAGAUGCAGCGGACAGACAAUACAACGUUCACCACAGGCGAGUACGAAACAUCAUUGAACGAACCUUUGGAAGAUGGAAAAACCGAUGGAGGUGCUUGCACAAAGAAGGUGGAACUCUUCGAUUAAGCCCCGAGAAGUGUUGCUCGGUGAUCAUUGCAACAUCUGUGCUACAUAACAUCUGUGAAAACCACGGCCUCCCUGUCCCAAACGACCCACCAGCCAAUGUGGAUAAUCCCGAUGAUGACGUCAACAAUAGACCAAUCCUCGAUGUCGAUGUCGAAGAAAGAGGUGUUGGAGAAAGGGCACGCUUGAUAGAUCAGCAUUUCAGGAAUAUGUAAUGAAGCCGUUGUUCUUCCACGUCAAGUCGCUUGCUCUCGAUUUUGACCCGUUCCUUCUCCACAUCAAUUAGUUCAACGGCAUGUGAAAGCUUCUUAUCUGCGAGAGACAAACCAGUUGAAGACGCCUUGGAAGAGCCAGCAGUGGGACGACAGCUCUUGGGUUGUCGGGCAGGACUUGGCGGCGGUGAAGGGGAUCGGGUGUCAUCUUCUGAGCUGCUAUCGUUCGGGCGCGUGACGGUUGCUGUAACCUUACGAAUUCUCUGGAAAAUACAUUUGAUAGACUUAAAUGCAAAAAGCCAUUAAACAUGAGUGAGGUCUUAGUAUGUCUUUAGUUGUUAUUUACUUCCUUCUCAUAUAGAAGGCCAGUACUGAAACGGGCACGUCAGGAGAUACGUUUUCUUUCCUAAUAACGACACAAGCAAAUGAGAAAAAGCAUUGCACAGAUCGUUGUGCAGCCACCUGGAAAGUUGCGAUCUUCCCUUAUCACUGCUUAUGCCUCCAGUAAUCAAAAACCUAUUUACCUCGGGUGAUUUCCGCAAUUCAACGGUAUGGAAUGUAUGCAAUGACUUCUUUGCUGCGACAGACAAACCAGUUGAAGACGCCUUGGAAGAGCCAGCA